CUCUUAAUGUCAAGUACUCCACAUCACCAAAAACAAAAAAGUCAUUAAGCACAAUUACAUACUCCAUGGUCAAACACUCCAAUCUGUCCCCUGUGCAAAAUAUCUCGGCUUAGACCUUUCAUCAGAUAUUUCAUACAACUCCCACAUUACAAGAAUAACAGCAACAGCCAAUAAGACCUUGGGCUUUCUUAAGCGUAACAUUACCACAAGAAAUGAAUCUGUGAAAGCUAUGGCUUACAAAACCCUAGUUCGCCCGCAAGUUGAAUAUGCAUCAACAGUCUGGAGCCCCUACACACAGUCAAAUAAAAAUAAAAUCGAAAUGGUCCAGCGAAGAGCCAUCCGCUGGGUUAAAUACAACUAUUCCCCUCUUGCAAGUGUUACUGAGAUGCAAAACAGCCUUGGCUGGCGGUCACUCGAAUAUCGCAGAAAUGACAUGCGGCUCAUCAUGUUCUUCAAAAUCUUACACAACAUCGUGGCCAUUAACCUUCCACCCUAUAUCCAGAAGCCUGUCAGACUUAGCCGGCACGUUCAUCCCCAUAGCUUUCAGCAAAUCCAAGUCCAAUCCGAUUAUCACAAGUGGUCCUUUUACCCCCAUAGCAUAGUUCUUUGGAAUAGCCUGCCCGUCAAUGUAGCAACUCUGCCAGCAACAGAACUUGAUAGGUUCAAACAGGCAGUGUCAAGCUUACAAUAUUAGUUUUACGUACUAUCAUAUUUUACUUUUUAAAAAUGUUCUCACGACUAACAUGUUUUAACCAUGACUGGAUUUUGUUUUUCUAUUCCAUGUCUCACAAUGUUAUCUUUUAUUUCUUUCUUUCACUUUACUAACAGUCCGACGCGCACCUGCCAGUAAUACUCGAAAGAGGGGUUCGGCAGUAUUCAAAGAUAGAUAGAUAGUUUUAUAUUCACUGCGGUAUUUGUGCCAUUUCAAAAAAAUGAUGCAAGUCAAAUCAUACUUUUGGUAUUUAUCAAUGUAUCAUAUAUUGUGGAAAGAUCGAUCAAAGUUGCAGAGAGCGGACAACUGCAAAUCGAGACACUGAAAUAGAGGAAUAAAGGCAAUCAUAGGGGAGAGGAAGCGUGUUUAAUCAGAUGAGGAUGAAUAAAUGUCACUCAGUGACAACACCACCAAGGCAUUCGAAGGUGACAGUGGCUAUGGCAGGACUGUUCUGCAGGCAUCACAACAGUUACUAUAAGAUCCCCAAACAGUUGCACCAUCUCUACAGAGGGUGUCGUGAAAUUCCGUCGUUUCUCACAACAAAAUGCCGCCUGGAUGAAGACAGCAUCGGACAGAGAUGGUGGGAGGGAAAUGAGGCAGACGCAAAUAUCUGAGUGCAUCCUUGGAACACCAGGAUGAAAAAACAAAAUAAUAUUAUGUUAAAAACGCUUAAUGUUUAAUGCAGUAGCGUUACCUUAAGUAUUGUUCAAUGAAAUAACUUUUAUUUCAAGUCUUAUUUUGUUUGUUUGAUUAUUUAUACAGUAACAGCCUGUGUGUAUUAUGGCAUGUUUUUGUAUUUUAACUUGAACAUUUUGAUAAACUGUUCAGGGGUAUUAUCCACAUUCUGUGAUAAUUCAAUUGUUUAAAUAUUUAUAGCAAUGAUA